UUUAUGUGGUGCUGAGGAUCGAACUCAGUGCCUCGAGUGUGCUAGGUGAGUACUCUUCCGCUGAGCCCCAGCCCCAUGAACACAUUUUCAUCGUAGAACAAUAACGCAGACAGACAAAGCCUUGACCCCCACCCAGUCCCACUCACCCCUUGGGUACCACCACUGUUAUCAAUUUGUAAUGUAUAUGCACACACACACACACACACACAAACACACACAGACACAUAUACAUACAGACAUGCAAAUAUGCAACCUUUUGGGAUUAAAAAAAACUACAAAUGGGCACCUGAAGUGGUUUUAUGCAGAGUGGGAAGCUCCACAGAGGCAAGGAUUUCAUGUCUUUUGUUUAUUGAUUUAUCCCUAACACAAUGUUCAGUAGGACCUCAGUAAAUAUACCUGAGGACAACUCUGUCCACCUAAUGCUGCAUCUUAGAGAUCCUUCCCUGUAAAACACACAGAAGAUGAACAAGCCUCUUCCGUGGCUGCAGUGUGACAGUGUCCCGCAGAGUGAUGUGCCUCGUGCAUUCACAUCCCUCUGCAGAUCGAUGUCCGUAUUGUCUCCUUCCUUUCCACAUGGUUGAGCCAGUCAGUGCACAGGCCCCAGAGCUGCGUGUGUAAGUACCUUAGUUCCCAGCGUGGAGAGUUGAAUCUUACGUAACUUGGAUAAUCUGAUGCAGAGAAUAUCCAUUGCUGUUGUUAUUUUCAUUUAACUUACUGCAAGUUAUGGAGCAGCCUCGCACGAAUUUACAGAAGAGUAUAUUCCCUCUCCUGUGGACAGUCCAAUGUGCCCAUUUUGGGGGAACUAUUGUUAUCUUAUGCAUUUUUAGGAUUUUUUAGUAUCCUAAAUUUUGUGGGUAUUAUAUAUAAAAUGAACAUUUUUCUGCUUAUCUGUUUUAUCAUAAGACAAAAGCUUCUAAUUUUGAUUUAGACAAUUAAAAAAUGAUGGCAUUUAUGCUUUUUUCCAAUCAUUUUUAUGGAUUUUAAAAAUUACCGAUAUGAAAAUAAGGUUGUUUUGCUGCCUUUCACAUACUUUUACCCUUUUCAAUUGUGGUCACUUAUAAUUUUCUAGUAAGAAGAAGCUUUCUAAAAGUUGACGACUUUUCUGAAUGAACCAUUCAUCCCUUUAUCUAUAUUCUUCUGAAAUUUUUCCUUUUGUUGAUCUGUAGCAGAAUUUUGAUGUAAUGAUGUUAUUGAUCUUUUGUCAUAUUUACUAACAAGUCUUUUCCUCACUUUCUUGUGUAUAAUUUUAUUUACAAGGUUUUUGAGGUAAAUUUUAAAAUGUUCUGUAGUGGUAAUUGUUAGGUAGUAAUGACACCCAUUUUGGGGCACGAUGUGGCAUGGCAGUACAGGUAUACAGUGUGUGAUGAUCAGACCCCGGCAAGGUGGGCAUGUUUAUCACCUCAGACCUAGAUUGUUGCUUUGUCUUAGGAACACUCAAAACACUCCCCAUUAGCUGUGUUGAAGUAAUUACUUGUUGUCAACCGUAGUUACCCUCCUCUGCUGCAGAACAUUGUUCCUCCUGCCCAGCUGUGACCCUGCCCCACUGACCAUCGUCCGUCCGUCCCUCCUUCCCUCACACCCUUUGUGGACUCUGGCUACUACUGUUUUGUCCUCUCCUUUGAGACGGACUUUAGUAUUGCUCCUUUUCUCUAACUUCUUCUACUACAUUUGCAUUUUUAAAAAUAUUUUUUUAGUUGUAGAUGUACCCAAUAUCUUUAUUUAUUUUUAUGUGGUGCUGAGGAUAGAACCCAGUGCCUCCCACUUGCAAGGCAAGUGCUGUACCACUGAGCUACAGCCCCAGCCCGCUACAUUUACAUUUUAAAAGGCAGUGUCUGUCUCAAGAGCAGUUAUGCCCCAAACCUAAGGGUGGGUAUUUGUCUAUGAAGCCGUCAUUAACUCCCUCUCCAGGGUCCACCUAGGAGUGAGGCAGGAUUUGGGAAGUGGAGCAUGAAGGUUAGGAGCUGGAUUCUGCACCCUGCCUGCCAGCCUGCAGCAUCCGGCUCUGCCACUUGCCAGCCACGGGCAAGCUGCUUGGCACCUCUGUUCUACCAUUUCUUUAUUUGCAGAAGGGAUGUGGUGAUAGUAUCUGUGUGAUAGGGUUGUUGUGAGGAUUGCACACCUUGGGUUAUGAAGGUACAGAGUGCUGUGCUGCGCACACACAGCAGCGCUGUUUCCAUUGGCCAUUCUCCCCCUCACCUCUUCCUCCUCCUCCUCCUCCUUCCUUCUCCUCCUCCUCCUCCUCCUCUUCAUUCCCCUCCAUCAUCCUCCUCCUCCAAAGGAGCAAAUGUCUAAAUGCAGACAUACACAUGCUUUGCAAUACUUUCCCAUCGUACAGUAAGUAAUUCCGGUUGUGAGAGGGUGAUGAUCGCUGCCACUCGCUUUCCUUAAAGUCUUGCACUGUGGCUUGCUGCUGCUCCAGGUUCCACACCAACCCUGUGAAUCACUCCGUUGUUUCUCCUGCUUUGUUAGUGAUGUAACUGCAGCUUGGUGGAGCUAAGCAGUUCACCCUUGGUGGCAUGGUGUGGAGGUGGCAGGGUCUGGCCCAGUCUCUGUCUGGCUGAGCUCUGACCUGAGCGUCUGUGCUGAGGUGGUCUGCCCUCUUGCUCUCCUGCUGGUUUCUGUAGGGUGACACACUGUUAAUUAUUGUGCUGUCUAAUACAUUUGAAUGUCUGCUAGGCUGUUUUCUUUCAUAACCCUUCUUUUUAAAAAAUGCCUUUUGCAUUUAUAUAGAUCAUUCCUUCUUUUAUUGCAGAUUACAAUCUUGUCAUUUUCCAGUGAGUUUUAUUUGAAUUUCAGUUGAUGAGAUAUUUGUAAAGCCUAUACAUCAACCUGGGAAAAUGUCUCAUUUUUUCAUAUUCUGCUUUCUCAUUGAAUCAGAUAAAAUUGUUCAUUUCAUUUAUUAUGAUUUCCUAGAUGGUCAUCUUGAC
rnacentral:lncRNA from 1 species